rnacentral:rRNA from 1 species
GGCUUAGAGUUUGAUCAUGGCUCAGGAUGAACGCUGGCGGCGUGCCUAACACACGCAAGUCGAGCGAAGCACUUUACUUUGAGAUCUUCGGAAGGAUAAGUUUAGUGACUGAGCGGCGGACGGGUGAGUAACGCGUGGGUGACCUGCCUCAUACAAGGGGAUAACAGUUAGAAAUGACUGCUAAUACCGCGUAAGACCACAGCACCGCAUGGUGCAGGGGUAAAAACUCCGGUGGUAUGAGAUGGACCCGCGUCUGAUUAGCUAGUUGGUAAGGUAACGGCUUACCAAGGCAACGAUCAGUAGCCGACCUGAGAGGGUGACCGGCCACAUUGGGACUGAGACACGGCCCAAACUCCUACGGGAGGCAGCAGUGGGGAAUAUUGCACAAUGGGGGAAACCCUGAUGCAGCGACGCCGCGUGAGCGAAGAAGUAUUUCGGUAUGUAAAGCUCUAUCAGCAGGGAAGAAACUGACGGUACCUGACUAAGAAGCACCGGCUAAAUACGUGCCAGCAGCCGCGGUAAUACGUAUGGUGCAAGCGUUAUCCGGAUUUACUGGGUGUAAAGGGAGCGUAGACGGAUAGGCAAGUCUGGAGUGAAAGCCCGGGGCUCAACCCCGGGACUGCUUUGGAAACUGUUUAUCUAGAGUGCUGGAGAGGUAAGUG